rnacentral:rRNA from 1 species
GAUGAACGCUGGCGGCGUGCCUAAUACAUGCAAGUCGAGCGAACAGACGAGGAGCUUGCUCCUCUGACGUUAGCGGCGGACGGGUGAGUAACACGUGGAUAACCUACCUAUAAGACUGGGAUAACUUCGGGAAACCGGAGCUAAUACCGGAUAAUAUAUUGAACCGCAUGGUUCAAUAGUGAAAGACGGUUUUGCUGUCACUUAUAGAUGGAUCCGCGCCGCAUUAGCUAGUUGGUAAGGUAACGGCUUACCAAGGCAACGAUGCGUAGCCGACCUGAGAGGGUGAUCGGCCACACUGGAACUGAGACACGGUCCAGACUCCUACGGGAGGCAGCAGUAGGGAAUCUUCCGCAAUGGGCGAAAGCUUGACGGAGCAACGCUGCGUGAGUGAUGAAGGUCUUCGGAUCGUAAAACUCUGUUAUUAGGGAAGAACAAAUGUGUAAGUAACUAUGCACGUCUUGACGGUACCUAAUCAGAAAGCCACGGCUAACUACGU